UGUUCUUCCCUGUUGGUCAUGGCAGGUGAAAGACAGAAACUGUGUCUCAUCCUUCUCAUCAGAUGCUGAUCUGGAGGGGGAAGAACUGGAAGAGCUCCUCCAUCGCUGCUGUUGAGCUACGAGAGGGGCCAGUUUGUGCUGCAGCUGCUCCACGUUGGGAUGUCAUCUCUGUCCCUCUGCUUCCGCUGUGGGAGGUGUCUGGUGAGGAGCUGAGAGCCAAUCCAUCACCUGGCAGUGGCAGCAGGAGCUGACAGCACGAAGCAUCAACAGCAAAGAAAACCAUGUCCAGCCUUUAUUAAUAAUUUUCCUUAGACGAAGGAGAACUAAUAUACUGCUGGUAAUAUCCACACUGCUUUUGUCCUACAAAGAUUUGCCAUUUUACCACUGAGUGAAGCCUGAAAAAGUGUUUCAUUUGCUAUUGCACUCACCAAAAUCUAUA